CCCUUAGAUGUUCUGGGCCGCACGCGCGCUACACUGAUGAAUGCAACGAGCUCUACCCUUGACCGAAAGGCCCGGGUAAACUUGUGAAACUUCAUCGUGAUGGGGAUAGAUUAUUGCAAUUAUUAAUCUUCAACGAGGAAUUCCUAGUAAGCGCGAGUCAUCAGCUCGCGUUGAUUACGUCCCUGCCCUUUGUACACACCGCCUGUCGCUCCUACCGAUUGAAUGGUCCGGUGAAAUCUUCGGAUUGCUGACCAAGAUCCAGCAAUGGAGCUUGGUUGCGAGAAGUUGAUUAAACCUUAUUAUUUAGAGGAAGGAGAAGUCGUAACA
rnacentral:rRNA from 1 species